rnacentral:rRNA from 1 species
GCAGUCGAGGGGUAUAGUUCUUCGGAAUUAGAGACCGGCGCACGGGUGCGUAACGCGUAUGCAAUCUACCUUUUACAGAGGGAUAGCCCAGAGAAAUUUGGAUUAAUACCUCAUAGUAUUACGACCUGGCAUCAGGAUGUAAUUAAAGUCACAACGGUAAAAGAUGAGCAUGUGUCCCAUUAGCUAGUUGGUAAGGUAACGGCUUACCAAGGCUACGAUGGGUAGGGGUCCUGAGAGGGAGAUCCCCCACACUGGUACUGAGACACGGACCAGACUCCUACGGGAGGCAGCAGUGAGGAAUAUUGGACAAUGGGCGCAAGCCUGAUCCAGCCAUGCCGCGUGCAGGAUGACGGUCCUAUGGAUUGUAAACUGCUUUUGCACAGGAAGAAACACCCCCUCGUGAGGGGGCUUGACGGUACUGUGAGAAUAAGGAUCGGCUAACUCCGUGCCAGCAGCCGCGGUAAUACGGAGGAUCCAAGCGUUAUCCGGAAUCAUUGGGUUUAAAGGGUCCGUAGGCGGUUUGGUAAGUCAGUGGUGAAAGCCCAUCGCUCAACGGUGGAACGGCCAUUGAUACUGCCAGACUUGAAUUAUUAGGAAGUAACUAGAAUAUGUAGUGUAGCGGUGAAAUGCUUAGAGAUUACAUGGAAUACCAAUUGCGAAGGCAAGUUACUACUAAUAUAUUGACGCUGAUGGACGAAAGCGUGGGUAGCGAACAGGAUUAGAUACCCUGGUAGUCCACGCCGUANACGAUGGAUACUAGCUGUUGGGAGCAAUCUCAGUGGCUAAGCGAAAGUGAUAAGUAUCCCACCUGGGGAGUACGUUCGCAAGAAUGAAACUCAAAGGAAUUGACGGGGGCCCGCACAAGCGGUGGAGCAUGUGGUUUAAUUCGAUGAUACGCGAGGAACCUUAC